rnacentral:rRNA from 1 species
UAGUCUUUUUAUUAGUUGUUAGCAAAAUUAUACAUGCAAGACUCAUCACUCCAGUGAGAAUGCCCUCCAUGUCAACUAAGGCCCAGAGGAGCGGGUAUCAAGCACACCCUUAGUAGCUCAUCACACCUUGCUAAGCCACACCCCCACGGGAUACAGCAGUAAUUAAAAUUAAGCAAUAAACGAAAGUUUGACUAAGUUAUGCAAACUACACAGGGUUGGUAAAUUUCGUGCCAGCCACCGCGGUCAUACGAUUAACCCUAACUAAUAAACCUCGGCGUAAAGAGUGUUAAAAUUAUGAGAAAAAUAAGAUUAAAUUUUAUCUAAGUCGUAAAAAACAACAGAUAAAAAUAAGACCAUUAACGAAAGUAAUCUUAAUAAAUCUGAAUACACUAAAGCUAAGACCCAAACUGGGAUUAGAUACCCCACUAUGCUUAGCCGUAAACAUAGAUAUUUAAUAACAAGAAUUUUCGCCAGAGUACUACUAGCAACAGCUUAAAACUCAAAGGACUUGGCGGUGCUUUAAACCCACCUAGAGGAGCCUGUUCUAUAA